AGUGAACGCUGGCGGUAGGCCUAACACAUGCAAGUCGAACGGCAGCACAGGAGAGCUUGCUCUCUGGGUGGCGAGUGGCGGACGGGUGAGGAAUACAUCGGAAUCUACUCUGUCGUGGGGGAUAACGUAGGGAAACUUACGCUAAUACCGCUUACGACCUACGGGUGAAAGCAGGGGACCUUCGGGCCUUGCGCGAUUGAAUGAGCCGAUGUCGGAUUAGCUAGUUGUCGGGGUAAAGGCCCACCAAGGCGACGAUCCGUAGCUGGUCUGAGAGGAUGAUCAGCCACACUGGAACUGAGACACGGUCCAGACUCCUACGGGAGGCAGCAGUGGGGAAUAUUGGACAAUGGGCGCAAGCCUGAUUCAGCCAUACCGCGUGGGUGAAGAAGGCCUUCGGGUUGUAAAGCCCUUUUGUUGGGAAAGAAAUCCAGCUGGCUAAUACCCGGUUGGGAUGACGGUACCCAAAGAAUAAGCACCGGCUAACUUCGUGCCAGCCGCCGCGGUAA
rnacentral:rRNA from 1 species